AGUGAACGCUGGCGGCAGGCUUAACACAUGCAAGUCGAACGGCAGCACAGUAAUAGCUUGCUUCUACUGGUGACGAGUGGAGGACGGGUUAGGUAUCCAUCGGAAUCUAUUUUUUCGUGGGGGGUAACGUAGGGAAACUUCCGCUAAUACCGCAUACGACCUACGGGUGAAAUCAGGGGAUCUUCGGACUUUGCGCGAUUGAAUGAGCCGAGGUCGGAUUGGUGAGUUGGCGGGGUAACGGCCCACCGAGGGGACGAUCGGUUGCUGGUCUGAGAGGAUGUAGCGCCACACUGGGAGUGAGACACGGUCCAGACUCCUACGGGAGGCCGCAGUGGGGAAUAUUGGCAGAUGGGCGGAAGCCUGCUCCAGCCGUGGCGCGUGGGUGAAGAAGGCCUGCGGGUUGGAAAGCCCUUUUGUUGUGAAAGAAAGGCAGCAGGUGAAUACCCGGCUGUUCUGACGGUACCCAAAGAAGAAGCACCGGCUAACUUCGUG
rnacentral:rRNA from 1 species